GAUCUAACUGGGACAGUCUUAACUGGGACAGUCGUGAUCCAGAAAAACGAGCAAAGCCCACCCAAAGCUAGCUUUGAUUGGUUGAGAAAGCAAUUCAAAGCUCCUCCGUCGUCACCCAAAAAGACUCCUCUUUCCAGUUCCUUCCACUUCCAGUGCAGUAGCGAUGCCGUUCUGGGUGGAUGACUAUGAGGAAGUAUCUGUAAAAUUUCAAAGAAUUCGAACCAAAAUGGGUGAGUUAGUUAAGGCGCACGCGAGAGCGUUGAUGCCAAUCGAAUGAUUGAAGUUCUUACUCGAGAGAUUACGGAUUUAUUGAGAAAUUCCGUGACAAGUUAAAGAAAAAUUAUGCAUGGGAGUCUAUUUAGGAAUAUAUUGACUUUAUAUGAUUUUAUAUGUUUAUAAUUUUAAAUAUGUAUAAACUUUAGAUUUUUGUUGGAUCAGCAUGUUUUUGUAAUGAUAAAUUAAAUAUAUUUACUCAUUAGUUUAAUAUAUAUAUUUAUAAACUUUGAUUUUAGAUUUAUAUAUAUAUUGUACUUUGACUAGUUUAUCUUGUGAGAAAGAAAAUUAAUAAUGAAAAUAAUAAUAUAAAUUAAUUGUAAAAUAAGAUUUUAGCAUUUUUAAGAUUCAAGAUAGUUUAAAGAUAUAUUUUAUCUUUUAAAAUUAUUUUUAUAUAAUUUGGAUAAUUUGAUGAAUAUAUCUUACUAUAUUGAUCAUAUAUCUUACUAUAUUCAUCUAUUUUUCAAUUAAGGAAUCAUUUAAUUAUUUUUCAUAAUAGUUUAUGCUAUAUUACCGAUACAAUUAUGCUUUUUGUUUAUUUUACUUAUACUUUCUAAGUUUUGUUAUGUAUACAUUACUGUUUAUAUGUAUAAAAAGUUUGUAAGAAGAAUAUAUACUUUAUUCCACACUCCAGCCAGCUAAAUAAAUAAAGAUUAUAGCAACCAUAUAGUAGAUGACCAGUAAUAAAAAUUUAGGACUAAGAGAUUUGUUUUCUAUGUGGUUUUAAGUUUGAGCCAUGUGGUUGCUAAUAUAAUGACCACUGGAGAUUUACAUAAUCGUUAAUUUCAGAGCCCGUAAAAUUAGUCGAUGUACGCACAAGCUGGCUCGAACAAUCAUGUAAAUAUAAAAAAACAAAAAAAAAGAAAUACUAUAGCGGAAACUUGUAGCGUGAAGCUCCCAAUACCUGAUUUUGAUGUGAUGAACUCAGCCUCUAGAUUGGAUCGGAUGGGAGAAUAUAUAGUUUUUUACCUUCAAUGAUGCUCUGCUUCCAAGCCUCCUCUUUCACAUCCAACGAGAAGGAAUAAUAAUCUAAGAAUAUAUAGUUUUUUACCUUCAAUGAUGCUCUGCUUCCAAGCCUUCUCUUUCACAUCCAACGAGAAGGUAUAAUGGUCUAAGAAUAUAGAGUCAGGACUCAAUUUACUAUCCAUUUCCAUCCUAUUGUGAUGUGAUCGCUACUGAAUCUGUUGUUCCUAUCAUGAUAUUGCCUCUGUCUUCCAGCCAUCUAAGACAUGGAUAAUAGGGUACGUAGUGGGAUGAAAGAAGUCUUGUACUCUCUGUUGAUUAUGGCAAAUAAGAAGGGAGGGAUUUUUCAAGAAGGAUAGCGCUCAUCAAGCUAGAACGCCUACGGAUUUCAAUACACAAGGAGUCAACUUUGUGUUCAGUGACUUCCUUCUCUCUUCCCCCUCCACCAUUGUUGAAUAGUUGUUUUUUAUGCUUGAUUAAAUGGGAUCAUCUGGUUCUUUCUAGUAUGCAUGCUUUAUCCUGUGAAAGCUCUAACUUCUGGAGCUUUAAUGAUGUUUUACACAAAUUAGGUCAGUGUUUGGUGACGGCAUUGAAAAUUUGAAAUAGCAACAAAGCUUAAAGGCUCAGCGCCACA